rnacentral:lncRNA from 1 species
CCGGCCCCGGCCCCGGCCCCGCCCGGCCUGCUAAGUUUUGCAAGCGCCUGGGCUGCGCGUGGCCGCCGGCAUCCUACCCUGGGUGUCCUGACUCCGAGGGGCCGCCGAGAGGGGCGGAGGGUUCACCCUUUCGGUCUCUCGUCGCCUCCCGGGUCUGGCCGCGGGGGUCUUCUAACAGCCUGGACUCUGUUCUCUGCCUCCUUUUGUCCCUCUCAUUUCUGCCUUUGCUUCCACACCCAGCGAGAUGCAGCGCCCAGCCCAAAACUUGAGUUCUUUACUCAAACUACAAAGUGAGUUUACUACCGAGAGAGAAAAACUUAAAGGGCCAAAUCUUAUGAGAAAAUUGUAGUAUAUUUUUAGUAGCGAGUGUGGAAUACCAGUGCUUCUCAAACUUUAAUAUGCAUCCGGCACACUUGACGAUCUUGUGAAAAUACUGACUCUUUGAUUCAGUAGAUCUGGCGUGGAGCCUGAGUUUCUGCAUUUUUACCAUCGUGGCUGAUUCCAAGGCUGAUGAUCCUGGAGCCACAGGUGUGAUAACAAAGGCUCACAAAAAUCAAGUUUUAAGCCCCAAGUCCUGCAGUGAAUGAGCAGCAGAGCUGCAGCUCGUCUCAGUCCUGUGAAUCGCACCAUGGCCUGGAAGGAAAAGUUUAGGGCAAUAUAACCCUCUACAAACAACCUUCCGAAGCAGGACGAGUGUUUUCACAAAGCUUCAUGGAAUGUCGAAGUGCAGGAACAAAAUAUUUUAGCUGGAAAAAUAACACGUAGCCAGAAAUCAACCCCAAUCCUACCAAAAAUAAUGAUGCCAGGAAACAGAGCUACAUACACAAAAGGGAAUGUGUACCAGGAUACACAUAAUAAAGUCACCUUGGCAAAGCUGGUGUCCUGGCCAAGCCAGAGGAGUGAUUCAAUUUAAGAGAGAAUUGGAAGGAGGACAUGUGCCCUAGCUAGUCCAUCGGAAGAAGUGUGCCAACCCACUGCCUUAUCACCAUAAGCCUGAUCAUAGCAAAGCUACAGAGUAGUUAAAAUGAAAAUUUCCAAGGUAGAAGAAGAUCAGGCAGUGGUAAUACCAGAAGCUGGCUGCAUAAGCCAGUGGCUCAGAUCUCACAGUGCAGGGCCAAAGAAGACAAAGUUGAAGUCAAUACUGAUACGGGCCAGUUGGCUUUGCACUGAGGAGGCAAAAAGUUCUAUGGUCACUGACUAGAACCUUCAUCCCACUCAGUCAUCCUGCCAAUGCUGGUGUUUGGGGUCAAAAAGGGAUUGGGAAAGAGUGUGGAAGACCUAUUUCCAGUGUUGACAAGCAGGGCUUACAUUCAGACAGAGAACGCCAAUACAGACAGUCAACUGU